AUUGAACGCUGGCGGCAGGCCUAACACAUGCAAGUCGAACGGUAACAGGAAGCAGCUUGCUGCUUUGCUGACGAGUGGCGGACGGGUGAGUAAUGUCUGGGAAACUGCCCGAUGGAGGGGGAUAACUACUGGAAACGGUAGCUAAUACCGCAUAACGUCGCAAGACCAAAGAGGGGGACCUUAGGGCCUCUUGCCAUCGGAUGUGCCCAGAUGGGAUUAGCUAGUAGGCGGGGUAACGGCUCACCUAGGCGACGAUCCCUAGCUGGUCUGAGAGGAUGACCAGCCACACUGGAACUGAGACACGGUCCAGACUCCUACGGGAGGCAGCAGUGGGGAAUAUUGCACAAUGGGCGCAAGCCUGAUGCAGCCAUGCCGCGUGUAUGAAGAAGGCCUUCGGGUUGUAAAGUACUUUCAGCGGGGAGGAAGGGAGUAAAGUUAAUACCUUUGCUCAUUGACGUUACCCGCAGAAGAAGCACCGGCUAACUCCGUG
rnacentral:rRNA from 1 species